AGUCGACGCUUCUUUUUCCACCGGAGCUUGCUCCACCGGAAAAAGAGGAGUGGCGAACGGGUGAGUAACACGUGGGUAACCUGCCCAUCAGAAGGGGAUAACACUUGGAAACAGGUGCUAAUACCGUAUAACAAUCAAAACCGCAUGGUUUUGAUUUGAAAGGCGCUUUCGGGUGUCGCUGAUGGAUGGACCCGCGGUGCAUUAGCUAGUUGGUGAGGUAACGGCUCACCAAGGCCACGAUGCAUAGCCGACCUGAGAGGGUGAUCGGCCACAUUGGGACUGAGACACGGCCCAAACUCCUACGGGAGGCAGCAGUAGGGAAUCUUCGGCAAUGGACGAAAGUCUGACCGAGCAACGCCGCGUGAGUGAAGAAGGUUUUCGGAUCGUAAAACUCUGUUGUUAGAGAAGAACAAGGAUGAGAGUAACUGUUCAUCCCUUGACGGUAUCUAACCAGAAAGCCACGGCUAACUACGUGCCAGCAGCCGCGGUAAUACGUAGGUGGCAAGCGUUGUCCGGAUUUAUUGGGCGUAAAGCGAGCGCAGGCGGUUUCUUAAGUCUGAUGUGAAAGCCCCCGGCUCAACCGGGGAGGGUCAUUGGAAACUGGGAGACUUGAGUGCAGAAGAGGAGAGUGGAAUUCCAUGUGUAGCGGUGAAAUGCGUAGAUAUAUGGAGGAACACCAGUGGCGAAGGCGGCUCUCUGGUCUGUAACUGACGCUGAGGCUCGAAAGCGU
rnacentral:rRNA from 1 species